rnacentral:rRNA from 1 species
ACGUAGGGUGCAAGCGUUAAUCGGAAUUACUGGGCGUAAAGCGUGCGCAGGCGGUUUUGUAAGUUUGUCGUGAAAGCCCCGGGCUCAACCUGGGAAUGGCGAUGAAGACUGCAAGGCUUGAAUCUGGCAGAGGGGGGUAGAAUUCCACGUGUAGCAGUGAAAUGCGUAGAGAUGUGGAGGAACACCGAUGGCGAAGGCAGCCCCCUGGGUCAAGAUUGACGCUCAUGCACGAAAGCGUGGGGAGCAAACAGG